UGCAGUCGAGCGGUAGAGAGAAGCUUGCUUCUCUUGAGAGCGGCGGACGGGUGAGUAAUGCCUAGGAAUCUGCCUGGUAGUGGGGGAUAACGUUCGGAAACGGACGCUAAUACCGCAUACGUCCUACGGGAGAAAGCAGGGGACCUUCGGGCCUUGCGCUAUCAGAUGAGCCUAGGUCGGAUUAGCUAGUUGGUGAGGUAAUGGCUCACCAAGGCGACGAUCCGUAACUGGUCUGAGAGGAUGAUCAGUCACACUGGAACUGAGACACGGUCCAGACUCCUACGGGAGGCAGCAGUGGGGAAUAUUGGACAAUGGGCGAAAGCCUGAUCCAGCCAUGCCGCGUGUGUGAAGAAGGUCUUCGGAUUGUAAAGCACUUUAAGUUGGGAGGAAGGGCAGUAAAUUAAUACUUUGCUGUUUUGACGUUACCGACAGAAUAAGCACCGGCUAACUCUGUGCCAGCAGCCGCGGUAAUACAGAGGGUGCAAGCGUUAAUCGGAAUUACUGGGCGUAAAGCGCGCGUAGGUGGUUCGUUAAGUUGGAUGUGAAAUCCCCGGGCUCAACCUGGGAACUGCAUUCAAAACUGACGAGCUAGAGUAUGGUAGAGGGUGGUGGAAUUUCCUGUGUAGCGGUGAAAUGCGUAGAUAUAGGAAGGAACACCAGUGGCGAAGGCGACCACCUGGACUGAUACUGACACUGAGGUGCGAAAGCGUGGGGAGCAAACAGGAU
rnacentral:rRNA from 1 species